UUGAGCCGGAUGAGAGGAAACCUUCACGUCCGAUUUUGAGGGGGAGAUUCUAUAGGAACUUAUCCCAAU
rnacentral:ncRNA from 1 species